rnacentral:rRNA from 1 species
AGAGUUUGAUCCUGGCUCAGGAUGAACGCNGGCGGCGUGCCUAAUACAUGCAAGUCGAGCGAACAGACGAGGAGCUUGCUCCUCUGACGUUAGCGGCGGACGGGUGAGUAACACGUGGAUAACCUACCUAUAAGACUGGGAUAACUUCGGGAAACCGGAGCUAAUACCGGAUAACAUGUUGAACCGCAUGGUUCAACAGUGAAAGACGGUCUUGCUGUCACUUAUAGAUGGAUCCGCGCCGCAUUAGCUAGUUGGUAAGGUAACGGCUUACCAAGGCAACGAUGCGUAGCCGACCUGAGAGGGUGAUCGGCCACACUGGAACUGAGACACGGUCCAGACUCCUACGGGAGGCAGCAGUAGGGAAUCUUCCGCAAUGGGCGAAAGCCUGACGGAGCAACGCCGCGUGAGUGAAGAAGGUCUUCGGAUCGUAAAACUCUGUUAUUAGGGAAGAACAAAUGUGUAAGUAACUAUGCACGUCUUGACGGUACCUAAUCAGAAAGCCACGGCUAACUACGUGCCAGCAGCCGCGGUAAUACGUAGGUGGCAAGCGUUAUCCGGAAUUAUUGGGCGUAAAGCGCGCGUAGGCGGUUUUUUAAGUCUGAUGUGAAAGCCCACGGCUCAACCGUGGAGGGUCAUUGGAAACUGGAAAACUUGAGUGCAGAAGAGGAAAGUGGAAUUCCAUGUGUAGCGGUGAAAUGCGCAGAGAUAUGGAGGAACACCAGUGGCGAAGGCGACUUUNNGGUCUGUAACGACGCNNA